rnacentral:rRNA from 1 species
UACAGAGGUCUCAAGCGUUGUUCGGAUUCAUUGGGCGUAAAGGGUGCGUAGGUGGCGGGGUAAGUCUGAUGUGAAAUCUCCGAGCUCAACUCGGAAAUGGCAUUGGAAACUACCUUGCUAGAGGGUUGGAGGGGGGACUGGAAUACUUGGUGUAGCAGUGAAAUGCGUAGAUAUCAAGUGGAACACCAGUGGCGAAGGCGAGUCCCUGGACAACUCCUGACACUGAGGCACGAAAGCUAGGGGAGCAAACAGG